rnacentral:misc_RNA from 1 species
AGGUAAAUCAAGGUCCUGAACUGCUACCCUCGUCUCGACCUCCAAGAUUGCAUCACCAGAAUACUGAAGAUCAAUUUCGAAGGCCCAAAACUCAUUCAUGUCCGAGGGAAGAACCCUCAUUGCACGUAUGUAGGGAGGAAGGUUACCAAUAUUAACAGAAGUACAUGUCACUUCGCCUAUGUAGCUAGGAAUUCGUAUAUUUGACAGCGUUCUCUGAAUCCUGGCUUGCAAAGAGGUUUUCAUCUGGUCGUUUCUUUUAGCAUCAAAAAACAAACGGGAUAUCAACAAGUUCCAACAAAGAGUUCCUUCAUCACCAAAAAUUCUCUCAUCAGAAUCCGCAUCAGAAGUAACUGACGUUUGACUCCGGCUUCCUAAUCCAGAAGAUGUUGAUGUAGAUGAAGGCACUGCAACGUCCUUAGUAGAAAAAUCAAGAGGUUUUCGUGUUGGAGCCAACUUGAUACCUCCACCAGCAAAAGAAAGGUCUUGUAAGGAUUGAGCUCUCUCACUUAUCUUCCUUUCUUCAUGAUCAGACGUUGAAAUGCUGCUUCCUUUGUUUUCUGGAAUACUCUUAGAA